rnacentral:rRNA from 1 species
UUCUGGUUGAUCCUGCCAGACCUGACUGCUAUCGGAUUGAUACUAAGCCAUGCGAGUCAUUGUAGCAAUACAAGGCAGACGGCUCAGUAACGCGUAGUCAACCUAACCUAUGGACGGGAAUAACCUCGGGAAACUGAGAAUAAUGCCCGAUAGAACACUAUACCUGGAAUGGUUUGUGUUCCAAAUGAUUUAUCGCCGUAGGAUGGGACUGCGGCCUAUCAGUUUGUUGGUGAGGUAAUGGCCCACCAAGACUAUUACAGGUACGGGCUCUGAGAGGAGUAGCCCGGAGAUGGGUACUGAGACACGGACCCAGGCCCUAUGGGGCGCAGCAGGCGAGAAAACUUUGCAAUGUGCGAAAGCACGACAAGGUUAAUCCGAGUGGUUUCUGCUAAAGGAACCUUUUGUUAGUCCUAGAAACACUAACGAAUAAGGGGUGGGCAAGUUCUGGUGUCAGCCGCCGCGGUAAAACCAGCACCUCAAGUGGUCAGGAUGAUUAUUGGGCCUAAAGCAUCCGUAGCCGGCUCUGUAAGUUUUCGGUUAAAUCUGUACGCUCAACGUACAGGCUGCCGGGAAUACUGCAAAGCUAGGGAGUGGGAGAGGUAGACGGUACUCGGUAGGAAGUGGUAAAAUGCUUUGAUCUAUCGAUGACCACCUGUGGCGAAGGCGGUCUACCAGAACACGUCCGACGGUGAGGGAUGAAAGCUGGGGGAGCAAACCGGAUUAGAUACCCGGGUAGUCCCAGCUGUAAACUAUGCAAACUCAAUGAUGCAUUGGCUUGAUGCCAAUGCAGUGUUGCAGGGAAGCCGUUAAGUUUGCCGCCUGGGAAGUACGUACGCAAGUAUGAAACUUAAAGGAAUUGGCGGGGGAGCACCACAAGGGGUGAAGCCUGCGGUUCAAUUGGACUCAACGCCGGGA